rnacentral:rRNA from 1 species
UUGAGAGCGGCGGACGGGUGAGUAAUGCCUAGGAAUCUGCCUGGUAGUGGGGGAUAACGUUCGGAAACGAACGCUAAUACCGCAUACGUCCUACGGGAGAAAGCAGGGGACCUUCGGGCCUUGCGCUAUCAGAUGAGCCUAGGUCGGAUUAGCUAGUUGGUGAGGUAAUGGCUCACCAAGGCGACGAUCCGUAACUGGUCUGAGAGGAUGAUCAGUCACACUGGAACUGAGACACGGUCCAGACUCCUACGGGAGGCAGCAGUGGGGAAUAUUGGACAAUGGGCGAAAGCCUGAUCCAGCCAUGCCGCGUGUGUGAAGAAGGUCUUCGGAUUGUAAAGCACUUUAAGUUGGGAGGAAGGGCAGUUACCUAAUACGUGAUUGUUUUGACGUUACCGACAGAAUAAGCACCGGCUAACUCUGUGCCAGCAGCCGCGGUAAUACAGAGGGUGCAAGCGUUAAUCGGAAUUACUGGGCGUAAAGCGCGCGUAGGUGGUUUGUUAAG